rfam:Cricetulus griseus cell line CHO-K1, whole genome shotgun sequence.
GCCCGGAUAGCUCAGUCGGUAGAGCAUGAGACUCUUAAUCUCAGGGUUAUGGGUUUGAACCCCACAUUGGGCA